rnacentral:misc_RNA from 2 species
AACGCACAUUGCGCCCCUUGGUAUUCCAUGGGGCAUGCCUGUUCGAGCGUCAUCUACACCCUCAAGCUCUGCUUGGUGUUGGGCGUCUGUCCCGCCUCUGCGCGCGGACUCGCCCCAAAUUCAUUGGCAGCGGUCCUUGCCUCCUCUCGCGCAGCACAAUUGCGCAGCGGGGGGGUGCGGCCCGCGUCCACGAAGCAACAUUUACCGUCUUUGACCUCGGAUCAGGUAGGGAUACCCGCUGAACUUAA